UAUUCUAAAGGUGUAGAAGGAUCAGAAACUACUCAUGUUUCACGAGAUGGGCAUGAUAACCUCUAAUUGGCCAAUUGGAGUGCUGCUACUUAGGACUUGAAAUUGGAAAUCGAGGCACCUGGGGUAAAAUUAAAGGAGGUGCUCCGUCUGCAGGGCUGACCCUGUGCUUACGUGACUGUGAGUGAGUUUCUCUUUAAAUUUUGUGCAUUAGGACUCAUUUGUUUCAAUCUGGUUCAGGUUCUAAUUUGCUCUAACUACAAAAUGACCCAAUUUAGAUAAAUGAAAAUCAGGUGUUGAACUUUUUCUUUAAGAGUUGCAUAAGAAACUCGGGCUUUUCUGCUGGACUAUCCGUAUCAGCAGGACAGAAGCCGAGACAUAAUGACCCCGUGUCUGCCGAAACAGAGUUGGCUUGAGAAUUAAGCCAGCACAGUGGAAAAAGAGCGUGGAGAAGAAUGGACCCCUAGAAAUAUUUUCAGGUCUCUCAAUCCAGCAUCCACUGUGAGAGAAGUCAUCUGUCAAUUGUUAUCUUUUGAAGGGAAUCUUGUAUGGGUUUUGCCAAGUUUGGAAAUGGGAUAACAAAUGAAAGCGAAGAGCUUCACCCAGCUUUCUCUUCCCUGGAAUACAAAUGUAUGAACUGCUACUGCAUGUGGAGUGUUGUGAGAAGAGGCACUGCUGCCAGCCUCCAUCUCCAUGGCAAUAGCAAGAGAUAAAAAGCAUCUCUAAGGGAGCACAAUUGUUGGACAACAUCUUGUGGACAUCAAAGAUCUGUUCAUUUUAACUCCUCAUCUUUUUCAAAAAGGUUAGUAAAAACAUUUCCCCAUUGGGAACCUAGUGGGAGAUUUUUUCAGAUCAGUAAUUUUACCUACCGUUCAUGGAGCUAGGAAAUAGUUCAAUGUGCUUCAAGUAGUCUUACAAACAGAACUAGGUACUCUUCUAUUAGUAGAAACUAACAUUUUACAGCAUUAGCCUUUGU